CCUACGGGCGGCAGCAGUGGGGGAUAUUGCACAAUGGGGGGAACCCUGAUGCAGCGACGCCGCGUGGGUGAAGAAGCGCCUCGGCGCGUAAAGCCCUGUCAGCAGGGAAGAAAAUGACGGUACCUGAAGAAGAAGCCCCGGCUAACUACGUGCCAGCAGCCGCGGGAAUGCGGAGGGGGCAAGCGUUAUCCGGAUUUACUGGGUGUAAAGGGGGCGCAGACGGGGAUGCAAGCCAGGAGGGAAAGCCCGGGGCCCAACCCCGGGAGUGCUCUUGGAACUGCGUGGCUGGAGUGGAGGAGGGGUAGGCGGAAUUCGUGGUGUAGCGGUGAAAUGCGUAGAUAUCAGGAGGAACACCGGUGGCGAAGGCGGCCUGCUGGACUGCAACUGACGUUGAGGCCCGAAAGCGUGGGGAGCAAACAGGAUUAGAUACCCCAGUAGUC
rnacentral:rRNA from 1 species